rnacentral:rRNA from 1 species
AUUGAACGCUGGCGGCAGGCCUAACACAUGCAAGUCGAGCGGAUGAAGGGAGCUUGCUCCUGGAUUCAGCGGCGGACGGGUGAGUAAUGCCUAGGAAUCUGCCUGGUAGUGGGGGAUAACGUCCGGAAACGGGCGCUAAUACUGCAUACGUCCUGAGGGAGAAAGUGGGGGAUCUUCGGACCUCACGCUAUCAGAUGAGCCUAGGUCGGAUUAGCUAGUUGGUGGGGUAAAGGCCUACCAAGGCGACGAUCCGUAACUGGUCUGAGAGGAUGAUCAGUCACACUGGAACUGAAACACGGUCCAGACUCCUACGGGAGGCAGCAGUGGGGAAUAUUGGACAAUGGGCGAAAGCCUGAUCCAGCCAUGCCGCGUGUGUGAAGAAGGUCUUCGGAUUGUAAAGCACUUUAAGUUGGGAGGAAGGGCAGUAAGUUAAUACCUUGCUGUUUUGACGUUACCAACAGAAUAAGCACCGGCUAACUUCGUG